rnacentral:rRNA from 1 species
UACGGGGGGGGCAAGCGUUGUUCGGAAUUACUGGGCGUAAAGGGCUCGUAGGUGGCCAACUAAGUCAGACGUGAAAUCCCUCGGCUUAACCGGGGAACUGCGUCUGAUACUGGAUGGCUUGAGUUCGGGAGAGGGAUGCGGAAUUCCAGGUGUAGCGGUGAAAUGCGCAGAUAUCAGGAGGAACACCGGUGGCGAAGGCGGGUCUCUGGGCAGUAACUGACGCUGAGGAGCGAAAGCGUGGGGAGCGAACAGG